GCAGACACCAGGGCCAUGGUAUGAGGGCACCUGAGGUGGACGGAAAACAGAAGAGAAUCCCAUUAGUGGCUGCUAUGGGUUAAAUUGUGUCCUCCAAAAGGUCACAGUGGAUUGGUCUCCCUGAACUUACACAGCAGCCUUCUGUCUGGUCUUCCUCUUACCUUCUCAUCUCCAUCAGACCCAUCCUCUACACAGCUCAGAACCAUCCACCUGAAAGACAAGUGGUCAUAUUCCCCUUCAGAAAGCUCCUAACUCCCUGCCUUCAGAAGGAUCAAUGACUAAUUUGGCUACCCAGAAAACAAAUCAAGAUAUGAAGAACUUCCAAUGUCAGCAUCUUCUGGAGGAGUCAUUCCAAAGGAUGACCAUCAAAAAACUUCGACAAAGGCCUGUACAUCAG